ACUCCUACGGGAGGGCAGCAGUGGGGAAUAUUGGGACAAUGGGGGGAAACCCCUGAUCCAGCCAUGCCGCGUGUGUGAAGAAGGCCCUUCGGGGUUGUAAAAGCACUUUCAGUGGGGAGGAAAGGUUGUUGGUUAAUACCUAACAGCUGUGACGUUACCCACAGAAGAAGCACCGGCUAACUCCGUGCCAGCAGCCGCGGUAAUACGGAGGGUGCAAGCGUUAAUCGGAAUUACUGGGCGUAAAGCGUGCGCAGGCGGUCUGUUAAGCGAGAUGUGAAAGCCCCGGGCUCAACCUGGGAACUGCAUUUCGAACUGGCAGACUAGAGUCUUGUAGAGGGGGUAGAAUUCCAGGUGGUAGCGGUGAAAUGCGUAGAGAUCUGGAGGAAUACCGGUGGCGAAGGCGGCCCCCUGGACAAAAGACUGACGCUCAGGGCCACGAAAGCGUGGGGGAGCAAACAGGAUUAGAUA
rnacentral:rRNA from 1 species